CAAAGCACUUUGAAGAGAGAGUUAAAGAGGACGUGAAACCGAUGAGGUGGAAACGGAUAGAGCCAGCGUAUCUGGCCCGUAUUCAACCUUGGGUGGUUGUCGCCCAGGCAAUUGCCUCCAGAUUGGGGCGUUGUCUGGGUUGUCGGCCGUCUGGUGGUGCAUUUACGGGUGGAGUGCGCCGAGAUGCCCGGAACAGCUGCAUGAACUUAGGUUUGAGGCCAGUCCGCAAGGCCUGGUACCCGGCCUGAGGGAGUGCUGUUUGUUCUGAGUAUUUUAUUAGGGCAUGGCCUACGAGUUCUGGCGGGUUCCAUUCUGGUGGUUGGUUACGGUCGCAUGCGACACGUGCCAGCAAUUAGUUCGGUCCUGUCAGCGCUCUCAUGUCCAAUCUCGGUGUAAAAGCUGGUCAUCUAUCCGACCCGUCUUGAAACACGGACCAAGGAGUUUAUCGUGUGCGCGAGUCAUUGGGCGUUUAAAACCCAAAGGCGAAAUGAAAGUGAAGGUAUCCAUAUGGAACUGACGUGCGAUCUUGCUUGCCACGGCUUGUGAGAGCAGCAUGGCCCCAUCCUGACUGCUUGCAGUGGGGUGGAGAUAGAGCGUACACGGUGAGACCCGAAAGAUGGUGAACUAUUCCUGAGCAGGAUGAAGCCAGAGGAAACUCUGGUGGAAGUCCGAAGCGAUUCUGACGUGCAAAUCGAU
rnacentral:rRNA from 1 species